CAUAGAAACGCCGGUCCCCGUACAGUCACCGAAGUUAAGCAACCUCGAGUCUGGCCAGUACCAAGAUGGAUGACCGCUUGGGAAUGCCAGGUGCAGUAAG